rnacentral:rRNA from 1 species
GUAGUGUCCUCGCAUGCUUUUGACGGGUAACGGGGAAUUAGGGUUCGACUCCGGAGAGGGAGCCUGAGAAACGGCUACCACAUCCAAGGAAGGCAGCAGGCGCGCAAAUUACCCAAUCCCGAUACGGGGAGGUAGUGACAAGAAAUACCGAUUCAGGAUCUUAUUGGAUCUUGAGAUUGGAAUGAGUACAAUUCAAACCCAUUAACGAGGAACAACUAGAGGGCAAGUCUGGUGCCAGCAGCCGCGGUAAUUCCAGCUCUAGUAGCGUAUAUUAAAAUUGUUGCAGUUAAAACGCUCGUAGUUGAACUUUGGGCUUGGCUGGCUGGUCCGCCUCACCGCGAGCACUGGUCCGGCUGGGCCUUUCCUCUUGGGGAUCCACAUGCCCUUCACUUGGGUGUGUUGGGGAACCAGGACUUUUACUUUGAAAAAAUUAGGGUGUUCAAAGCAGGCAUUUGCUCGAAUACAUUAGCAUGGGAUAAUAGAAUAGGACGUGUGGUCUUAUUUUGUUGGUUUCUAGGACCGCCGUAAUGAU